AUUGAACGCUGGCGGCAGGCCUAACACAUGCAAGUCGAGCGGAUCGGCGGACGGGUGAGUAAUGCUUAGGAAUCUGCCUGUUAGUGGGGGAUAACGUCCGGAAACGGGCGCUAAUACUGCAUACUAUCAGAUUCGCCUAGGCCGGAUUAGCUAGUGGGUGGGGUAAUGGCCUACCAAGGCGACGACCCGGAACUGGUCUUAGAGGAGGAUCAGUCACACGGGAACUGAGACACGGUCUAUACUCCUACGGGAGGAAGCAGUGGGGAAUAUUGGAAAAUGGGCGAAAGCCUGAUCCAGCCAUGCAGCGUGGGUGAAGAAGGUCUUCGGAUUGUAAAGCACUUUAAGUUGGGAGGCGUUACCAACAGAAUAAGCACCGGCUAACUUCGUGCCAGCAGCCGCGGUAAUAC
rnacentral:rRNA from 1 species